ensembl:misc_RNA Metazoa_SRP Metazoan signal recognition particle RNA
GCCGGGCAUGGUGGUGCGUGCCUGUAGUCCCAGCUACUCAGGAGGCUGAGGCAGAAGAAUUGCUUGAACCCAGGAGGCACAGGUUGCAGUGAGCCAAGAUCAAGGCACUGUACUCCAGCCUGGGCGACAGAGCAAGACUCUGUCUCAA